rnacentral:rRNA from 1 species
UACGUAGGGUGCAAGCGUUGUCCGGAAUUAUUGGGCGUAAAGAGCUCGUAGGCGGUCUGUCGCGUCGGCUGUGAAAACCCGGGGCUCAACCCCGGGCCUGCAGUCGAUACGGGCAGACUAGAGUGCGGUAGGGGAGACUGGAAUUCCUGGUGUAGCGGUGAAAUGCGCAGAUAUCAGGAGGAACACCGGUGGCGAAGGCGGGUCUCUGGGCCGUAACUGACGCUGAGGCGCGAAAGCUAGGGGAGCAAACAGG